rnacentral:rRNA from 1 species
GUGCACGCUGGCGGUAGGCCUAACCCAUGCCAGUCGAACGGCAGCACAGUAAGAGCUUGCUCUUACGGGUGGCGAGUGGCGGACGGGCGAGGAAUACAUCGGAAUCUACUUUUUCGUGGGGGAUAACGUAGGGAAACUUACGCUAAUACCGCGUACGACCUACGGGUGAAAGCAGGGGAUCUUCGGACCUUGCGCGAUUGAAUGAGCCGAUGUCGGAUUAGCUAGUUGGCGGGGUAAAGGCCCACCAAGGCGACGAUCCGUAGCUGGUCUGAGAGGAUGAUCAGCCACACUGGAACUGAGACACGGUCCAGACUCCUACGGGAGGCAGCAGUGGGGAAUAUUGGACAAUGGGCGCAAGCCUGAUCCAGCCAUACCGCGUGGGUGAAGAAGGCCUUCGGGUUGUAAAGCCCUUUUGUUGGGAAAGAAAAGCAGCAGGUUAAUACCCCGCUGUUCUGACGGUACCCAAAGAAUAAGCACCGGCUAACUUCGUG